rnacentral:tRNA from 1 species
GCACAUAUGGCUCAAGUGGUAGAGCACUAGCCUUGAGUACAAGAACAUGAGGCCCUGAGAUCAAACCCCAGUAUUUACA